GACGAACGCUGGCGGCGUGCUUAACACAUGCAAGUCGAACGGAAAGGCCCAGCUUGCUGGGUACUCGAGUGGCGAACGGGUGAGUAACACGUGGGUGAUCUGCCCUGCACUCUGGGAUAAGCCUGGUAAACUGGGUCUAAUACCGGAUAUGACCAACUGUCGCAUGGUGGUUGGUGGAAAGCUUUUGCGGUGUGGGAUGGGCCCUCGGCCUAUCAGCUUGUUGGUGGGGUAAUGGCCUACCAAGGCGACGACGGGUAGCCGACCUGAGAGGGUGAUCGGCGACACUGGGACUGAGGCACGGCCCAGACUCCUACGGGAGGCAGCAGUGGAGAAUCUUGCACAGUGGGGGCAAGCCUGAUGCAGCGACGCCGCGUGCGGGAUGACGGCCUUCGGGUUGUAAACAUCUUUCACCAGGGACGAAGCGUGAGUGACGGUACCUGGAGAGAAAGCACCGGCCAACUACGUG
rnacentral:rRNA from 1 species